CAGCCUCCCGCUAACCAAGCACCGGGGGGGGGGGGGCGGGGGCGAAAACGCGCCCUCCGAAGGGGAACCUGUGGGGCUGACGGCAGGGCCCUGCCUGGAGCCGGGACCCGUCGGGGCUGUGGUGCCGCUGAGGGGAGGCGCUGCCGGGGCCGCGCCUUCACCAGCCGCCUGCCUGCGGGAGGAGGGCCCUUAACACUUCAAAAGAGCCCUUAAAAAAAAAAAAAAAAAAAACCACCUGUAAACGGCUGUUUUCUUUCGCAGGCUGCAGCGCUUCCUCGAUCUCGCUGGGAGCCGCCCGGCCGGCAGCCGUGCCCGCGGAAGCGGCGUGGGGCGGUGGCGGCGCGGUGGCUUUGCAUACCGAAACCGCAGCCCCGGCUGGCACCUGAGGCGCUGUCCAGGAAAGCGCCGGUUCCCCUUUCGCUCACCGGGUGACUUGGGUUUCCUUCUCUUCCCCCCUGCCCGCCUCAGGGCUUUGCGGCGGCGGGGGGGGGGCGGGUGAGCGCCGGGGCUCCCGCCUCGGCCGCCACCGCGUGCCAAGCGCGGGUCUGAGGCGGUGGGGCUGGGGGUGAAAACAGUCUCGGCUCCUGUUUUAAACACCUGCUUUUUACAAGCCCUCCGAGCAAAACGAAACAAAAACAACCAAAAACACCCCAACCUGAAAAUGUAAUUUCACGGUCUUGCCUAUCUCUGUAGCGUGUUUACGCCAGAACACGCUGCAUCCGAAGUGCCGUGCUGGUGCCUGUGUCAGGACUUGAAGAGGGGCUGCAGGCUUAGUUCAUCUAAACAAGCACGCGACAGCUUCCGAGGUCAACACCUGGUACACAGAGAAUGCUAAGGUUUUAGAAGCAUCACACUCAAAUCAACAAUUCUUUAUGCAUUUUUAAUCAAGUCCUUCAGCCUUGAAAUAAAUCAAAAUGACUAAAAGAAAGAGAUUUUUCUGCUGGAUCUUAAUGAGUUAAUUUCUCCCACCUGCAGCAUUUCCUCCAAAGCAAGCACCAAGUUUAUUUUUACAGCUGAAUUCCCAAAUAACAGAAAGAAGAUACUAAGAAAAAAUGCUGGCUUUAGAAAAGUGGGAAACGAGCCUUAAUUCUUCUAAGCUAUCUGAAAUAAUUUCCAGGUGAGAAGACAGUAUUGGACUCCUUAUACUGAUUUUAAAUCUUUUCCUAUCUAGGGCUUUUACAAGGAGAGCACUAAGUCUUAAAUUACCUUUUCAGGAAAUAAAAGUGCAGCUUUUGUUAA